rnacentral:lncRNA from 1 species
UGGGAGGUAUUGGGAUGGCACUGGGAGGCACUGGGAGGCGCUGGGAGGAACUGGGAUCUGCUGGGAUGUACUGGGAUGGCACUGGGAGGCGCUGGGAGGCGCUGGGGUGGCACUUGGAUGUGCUGGGAUGUACUGGGAUGGCACUGGGAUAUACUGGGAUGGCACGGGGAGGCACUGGGAUCUGCUGGGAUGGCACUGGGAUCUGCUGGGAUGUACUGGGAUGGCACUGGGAUAUACUGGGAUGGCACGGGGAGGCACUGGGAUCUGCUGGGAUGGCACUGGGAUCUGCUGGGAUGUACUGGGAUGGCACUGGGAUAUACUGGGAUGGCACGGGGAGGCACUGGGAUCUGCUGGGAUGGCACUGGGAUCUGCUGGGAUGUACUGGGAUGGCACUGGGAUAUACUGGGAUGGCACGGGGAGGCACUGGGAUCUGCUGGGAUGGCACUGGGAUCUGCUGGGAUGUACUGGGAUGGCACUGGGAUAUACUGGGAUGGCACGGGGAGGCACUGGGAUCUGCUGGGAUGGCACUGGGAUCUGCUGGGAUGUACUGGGAUGGCACUGGGAUAUACUGGGAUGGCACGGGGAGGCACUGGGAUCUGCUGGGAUGGCACUGGUGUGUACUGGGAUGUGCUGGGAUGGCACUGGGAGGCACUGGGAUGUGUUGGCAUAUACUGGGAGAUACUGGGAGGCACUGGGGUGCAUUGGGAUAUACUGGGAUGGCACUGGGAGCUACUGGGAGGUACUGGGACGUACUGGGGUGGCACUGGGACGGGUUGGGGCAUCACUGGGACGUCACUGAGAGAUGCUGGGGGCCUCCAAUCCCCCCCAGUUCCCUUCUGGGUCCCCUCCCCGUCGGAUGUGUUGGCAUAUACUGGGAGAUACUGGGAGGCACUGGGGUGCAUUGGGAUAUACUGGGAUGGCACUGGGAGCUACUGGGAGGUACUGGGACGUACUGGGGUGGCACUGGGACGGGUUGGGGCAUCACUGGGACGUCACUGAGAGAUGCUGGGGGCCUCCAAUCCCCCCCAGUUCCCUUCUGGGUCCCCUCCCCGUCCAUCCCAGUGCUCCCAGUCCCUCCCAGUCCCCCCCAGUCCCUCCCAGUGCUCCCAGUUUACCUGUUGUACAUGGCCCAGUACAGCCCCACAUUUGGGGCGCUCUCCAGAUGUUCCCGGACCUCCAGCACAGGGGGGGUAGCAGCUGCCACCUCCUCCUGGAGAANNNNNNNNNNNNNNNNNNNNNNNNNNNNNNNNNNNNNNNNNNN